AUGAGCCAACUCCAUGUUCAUUUAAAAAAUAUAGGCUGCAUUGGUGGCUCAUUGCAUACAAUAUUAGAGCAGGCAGACUCUAUGUGUUAUGCAGUAUGGGGUGGCAAAAAAGUGAAGUUGCAUCCAGUAUACGAAGAUAUUUUCAGCAUGUGAGGCAAGAGCAAAGAUGGCCAGAAGACAUUGCUCAAAUUUCCCAACCUAUAUAUGCCGACGUGAUACAACAAGCAAAUGGUUAUGACUGUGGCAUAUUCGUGACAGAAUUUGCGAGAAGAAUAACA